UCCCACCUGAAAGUGUCAAAAAUGAUGCGCCAGCCAGACCUCAUGGAGAGAAUGGGGGAUAGAGUCCUGACACAGGAAGAGAUCUUCCUUGGCCCAAAGGUUUGGAUAAUGGGAAAACAUGGGAAAACAUGUGAUCAACGUCAUUAACAACCCUCUCUCUGGGCAACCAGAGAGAUGCAUUAAACACCAAACUACCACACUGUCCCCACAAAAAUAUAAAUUUGAUGUAAAGACUCUCAGAGUUGGCUCAUUUGUGGAGAUAGCCCCCUUCAACCCAACCCAUGUGAAUGACAG